rnacentral:lncRNA from 1 species
AGCACAGCAGCACUGCCGUGCUCUGGUGACAACACCAUUACCUGCAGCGGGAUUUUGCCUCGGCCUGGCCGUUUUUGGCUAGUUUUGGCUAGCUUCAUACGUAUCUCUGUGGAAAAAAUACGUUAAGGGGCCUCAAUUGACAGAAAAAAUCAGAAAAUGAAAACCUACCGGUGAUGAAAUUUUUUAGGUGCGACGGCUCCACCAGCUCACCUUCACGGCUGGGAGUUUUUCUUCGGCCAACUUGUAGAAAAUAGAACGGUGAACGCAACGGUGGAAAAAUUGCACGAAACGGGAAGCAAGAAGGGACUCAUCGAAGGAGGUUGCAGGUUUUACCGGGCUUUGCCCGUGAUUUUUGGCUCACCCGUCAUUCAUUUU